GCAUCUGCUGAACUCCAAUCAAUCCGUCGUUUCUGGUACUCUUAAAAACAAAGGAUAAACAUAAUCUCAAUAUAUUUUCUCAAACAUAUUCCGUGCAUUGUAUAUUACAGUAUAACCUAAUAUAAUAAUAUAAUAUUAUAGUAUAGAGUACUAUAAACAUGUAAAAAACAUACGAACUAGGGAGUACAUAAUCAAGAUCUUUAAUAAACAGAGACACAUAUUAUUAAACAAGUCAAUAACGAAAACAUUAGUAUCAAAGCAGGUUCAUAAAUAUUCGAAAUAAAAAGACAAAUAUGAGAGGAAUCUGGUGGUUGGCGAUAGCAUACCAUAUUUUUAUACAUCAUGGGAAACGUUCUAAAUACGCCAUGGAAUUCUUACCUGAUAACGUGGAGAACUCAUGCGUAUUUAAUACGGAAUACAUAAUGCCUAUUAAAGGCCUUUUUCGUGGCUUCGAUUUCCACAUUCCAUCUUUGAAGUGUUCCUCGUCCCACAGGUCUUUAGGUAGGCCUACUAAGCUUCCAGGCACCUUGUUUUCCGAGGAUAAGUGGCUGCGGCGCAGCACUUGUUUCUGCCUCAGCCCUGGUAUUACGUUUUCUUUCGCCAUUAAUUGGUGCAUAAAUUUCUUUCGCCAAUUAUCCGACAGAGAUUCCAGCUGUGCCGUUUGUCAGGGUUUAGUGACUUAAGCGACACUUGACAGCGAAAAAUUUGCACUGUGUGUUCCUGUGAAUUUCUACAUUUUCUCCAUCGUUUCCUUUCUUUUUGGUAAAUCGGAUGUGAAUUUUUGAAGCGUCUCCAUAUCUCGUGGUUUGAACACGAGAAUUUUCAAUCGGAAUAAGAUAAAAUACGAACUUUGGUAAAUUGAAUACGAAUUUUACAACGUUUUUGUAAUUCUUACUUUCAGUACAGCUUUAGAUUGUAAAUGAAGCUUCAGCUUGGAUUGAUCAAGAGAAAUCAAAUAUAUGUGCAAUAAAGUUGUAUAUAAUAACUGGACUGUGGAUGUUCAUGCAAAUCCGAUUUUUAUAAACGCAACUAAAGAAACAUAAAGAUUCUUUUCACAUACUAAAUACACGUCGCAAUGAGAAUGAGAUUUCGCGUAUUUUAUUUGAUAUAUCUCUAUAUUUUGUAUAUUUCAUACAAUUUUUCGUUUUUACGUUUCCCACAAACGUAUAAACAUCGAAAUAACGAUAUUACAUUAAUUUACAGUAUAUAAAUUAGAACAAAC
rnacentral:misc_RNA from 1 species